ACUCAAAGGAAUUGACGGGGGCCCGCACAAGCGGUGGAGCAUGUGGUUUAAUUCGACGCAACGCGAAGAACCUUACCUACCCUUGACAUCCUAGGAAGACUGUAGAGAUACGGUUGUGCCGAAAGGAACCUAGAGACAGGUGCUGCAUGGCUGUCGUCAGCUCGUGUUGUGAGAUGUUGGGUUAAGUCCCGUAACGAGCGCAACCCUUGUCCUUAGUUACCAGCGCGUGAUGGCGGGAACUCUAAGGAGACUGCUGGUGAAGAACCGGAGGAAGGCGGGGACGACGUCAAGUCAUCAUGGCCUUUAUGGGUAGGGCCACACACGUGCUACAAUGGGGCGUACAGAGGGAAGCCAACCCGCGAGGGGGAGCCGAUCCCAGAAAGCGUCUCGUAGUCCGGAUUGAAGUCUGCAACUCGACUUCAUGAAGUCGGAAUCGCUAGUAAUCGCGAAUCAGAAUGUCGCGGUGAAUACGUUCCCGGGCCUUGUACACACCGCCCGU
rnacentral:rRNA from 1 species